CAUACAUUUCUUUAGUUCAAAGGGGGAAAUAGAUUUUCUUAGAGAUGCAAGUUGCAAAAUGAUUAUCGCCAUAUAGAUAAAGUUUGAACCUUGCCUACUUCUACACAUAGCUUUUAAUCUUGUUGUGUUUUGGAUUGAGCCUUGAACGUUAUUAGAGUAAUUUAUUUUAAUUUUCCUAAAUAGCACUGGUUUGGUUGCUUGACUUUGCUAAGCAAAAAAGUUGACAAAUUUGGGAGCUCUUAGUUUGUGAUAUGUGUAUAGUAAAAUCUCAGCAAUGUAUGUUGUUUGGGUGCCACUGCUAAGCUGUUCGGUUGCAGUAGGUUUGACGGUAUUGUCAAGAACAAGGGCCCACGUUCAAGAACAUAAUUCAGAAAAAAUGGAGAAACUUUUCAAACAGCAGGUCAUGAGGACUAAUCAGACUAGAUAGCAAAGAAAAGUAAAAUGUUUGUAUAAUAAUGAGGUAUCUAUAGAUAGCUAUUGUAAUUGAUAUGUGUAGGGUAAUUUUAUAGAAUAUAUGAAUAAAUAUUAUAUAAAAACGGGUACGAUUCAUCCACCAAAUAAAAUAUUAUUGUAAAUUUUAAUGCAUUGCCGAUAAUAGUUUAGUUUUUACUUAAUUAGGUUUUAUUUAAUUGUGUAAUACAUCUAAUAUGAACUUGGAAAUUUCGAAUGUUUGAUUAUUAAUUAGUAUAGUAAAAAAUAGUUAUUUAUGUAACAUGUAAAACUUCUAAGAUAAAGCUAGAAAAUAUUAUGUUUGACGUAAUUUCUAUAAAGAAUUGACCAGGGUUUCAAAAAUGUAUUAAAAAUAAAAUCUGUUGACAUAAUGGCGAAUAAUUAGUGUAGAAAUAUAUGUUGCUAAAAUUUU
rnacentral:lncRNA from 1 species